AUGAACGCUAGCUACAGGCUUAACCCAUGCAAGUCGCGGGGAAACGACAUCGAAAGCUUGCUUUUGAUGGGCGUCGACCGGCGCACGGGUGAGUAACGCGUAUCCAACCUGCCCAUCACUUGGGAAUAACCUUGCGAAAGUAAGACUAAUACCCAAUGACAUCCCACGAAGACAUCUGAAUGGGAUUAAAGAUUUAUCGGUGAUGGAUGGGGAUGCGUCUGAUUAGCUUGUUGGCGGGGUAACGGCCCACCAAGGCAACGAUCAGUAGGGGUUCUGAGAGGAAGGUCCCCCACAUUGGAACUGAGACACGGUCCAAACUCCUACGGGAGGCAGCAGUGAGGAAUAUUGGUCAAUGGGCGAGAGCCUGAACCAGCCAAGUAGCGUGCAGGAUGACGGCCCUAUGGGUUGUAAACUGCUUUUAUAAGGGAAUAAAGUGGGUCUCGUGAGACUUUUUGCAUGUACCUUAUGAAUAAGGACCGGCUAAUUCCGUG
rnacentral:rRNA from 1 species